rnacentral:rRNA from 1 species
CCUACGGGGGGCAGCAGUGGGGAAUAUUGGACAAUGGGGGGGAACCCUGAUCCAGCCAUGCCGCGUGUGUGAAGAAGGCCCUCGGGUUGUAAAGCACUUUCAGUGAGGAAGAACGCCUGGUGGAUAAUACCCAUCAGGAAAGACAUCACUCACAGAAGAAGCACCGGCUAACUCCGUGCCAGCAGCCGCGGUAAUACGGAGGGUGCGAGCGUUAAUCGGAAUUACUGGGCGUAAAGCGCGCGUAGGUGGCUUGAUAAGCCGGUUGUGAAAGCCCCGGGCUCAACCUGGGAACGGCAUCCGGAACUGUCAAGCUAGAGUGCAGGAGAGGAAGGUAGAAUUCCCGGUGUAGCGGUGAAAUGCGUAGAGAUCGGGAGGAAUACCAGUGGCGAAGGCGGCCUUCUGGACUGACACUGACACUGAGGUGCGAAAGCGUGGGUAGCAAACAGGAUUAGAUACCCGAGUAGUC